GUCAAUUUCAAGCUUUGGCCUCAUGCAUUGCCUUCUCUCAUGGAGCUUAGAAGUGGGCUUCCUUUGAAUGGCGGAUUUUAUCACUGUUGCUUCUGGUACCGCUGCAGCAUUGCUCUCUGAUGGACCUGUCAAGUGCUGCACGACUUCUCUGAAAGUGUCGGUGUCAGUGUGGACAAAUGUAGUGACGGGCUUGCAAGUUGCAACGUUCUGACUUCCUUGGUUAUUCAUUUAAGGGAUCACAAGAAAUGAUGAUAAAGAAAAGAGCAGAGACUUUUGAUCAAAAAAAAAAUGAAAAGACCAGAGACAUACCUGAAAGAGCAAGCCAGAGGCAGCAGGUGAAUGUGAAUCCUAGUUUCUGAACCCAACAAACAA